ACUCCUACGGGAGGCAGCAGUGGGGAAUUUUGGACAAUGGGCGAAAGCCUGAUCCAGCAAUGCCGCGUGAGUGAAGAAGGCCUUCGGGUUGUAAAGCUCUUUUGUCAGGGAAGAAACGGUGAGAGCUAAUAUCUUUUGCUAAUGACGGUACCUGAAGAAUAAGCACCGGCUAACUACGUGCCAGCAGCCGCGGUAAUACGUAGGGUGCAAGCGUUAAUCGGAAUUACUGGGCGUAAAGCGUGCGCAGGCGGUUUUGUAAGUCUGAUGUGAAAUCCCCGGGCUCAACCUGGGAAUUGCAUUGGAGACUGCAAGGCUAGAAUCUGGCAGAGGGGGGUAGAAUUCCACGUGUAGCAGUGAAAUGCGUAGAUAUGUGGAGGAACACCGAUGGCGAAGGCAGCCCCCUGGGUCAAGAUUGACGCUCAUGCACGAAAGCGUGGGGAGCAAACAGGAUUAGAAACCCUAGUAGUCCCAUG
rnacentral:rRNA from 1 species